rnacentral:rRNA from 1 species
GUCCACGCCGUAAACGAUGAGCACUAGGUGUCGCGGGUAUUGACCCCUGCGGUGCCGACGCUAACGCAUUAAGUGCUCCGCCUGGGGACUACGGCCGCAAGGUUAAAACUCAAAGGAAUUGACGGGGGCCCCGCACAAGCGGUGGAGCAUGUGGUUCAAUUCGACGCAACGCGAAGAACCUUACCUGGGCUAGACAACGGAGGCCCGCCCCAGAGAUGGGGUUUUCCCUUCGGGGACUUCCGGUUCAGGUGCUGCAUGGCUGUCGU